AGUGAACGCUGGCGGUAGGCCUAACACAUGCAAGUCGAACGGCAGCACAGUAAGAGCUUGCUCUUACGGGUGGCGAGUGGCGGACGGGUGAGGAAUACAUCGGAAUCUACUUUUUCGUGGGGGAUAACGUAGGGAAACUUACGCUAAUACCGCAUACGACCUACGGGUGAAAGCAGGGGAUCUUCGGACCUUGCGCGAUUCAUGGAGCCGGUGCCGGAUUGGCUAGUUGGCGGGGUAAAGGCCCACCAAGCCGACGAUCCGUAGCUGGUCUGAGAGGAUGAUCAGCCACACUGGAACUGAGACACGGUCCAGACUCCUACGGGAGGCAGCAGUGGGGAAUAUUGGACAAUGGGCGCAAGCCUGAUCCAGCCAUACCGCGUGGGUGAAGAAGGUCUUCGGGUUGUAAAGCCCUUUUGUUGGGAAAGAAAAGCAGCAGGUUAAUACCCCGCUGUUCUGACGGUACCCAAAGAAUAAGCACCGGCUAACUUCGUG
rnacentral:rRNA from 1 species